rnacentral:tRNA from 1 species
GGGCCUAUAGCUCAACUGGCAGAGCAGCGGACUUUUAAUCCGCGGGUUCUGGGUUCGAUUCCCAGUGGGCCCA